rnacentral:rRNA from 1 species
CAGCAGCCGCGGUAAUACGAAGGGUGCAAGCGUUAAUCGGAAUUACUGGGCGUAAAGCGUGCGUAGGCGGUUAUAUAAGACAGUUGUGAAAUCCCCGGGCUCAACCUGGGAACUGCAUCUGUGACUGUAUAGCUAGAGUACGGUAGAGGGGGAUGGAAUUCCGCGUGUAGCAGUGAAAUGCGUAGAUAUGCGGAGGAACACCGAUGGCGAAGGCAAUCCCCUGGACCUGUACUGACGCUCAUGCACGAAAGCGUGGGGAGCAAACAGGAUUAGAUACCCCGGUAGUCCCUGUCUCUUAUAC